ACAAACGCUGGCGGCGUGCGUAAAACAUGCAAGUCGCACGGCUCUUCGGAGCAGUGGCAGACGGCUGAGUAACGCGUAGGAAUCUACCCUCCAGUGGGGAAUAACGGGCCGAAAGGUCCGCUAAUACUGCAUACGACCACCUUUCGGGGUGAGGAAAGCCGCAAGGUGCUGGAGGAGGAGCCUGCGUCCGAUUAGCUCGUUGGUGGGGUAACGGCCUACCAAGGCGACGAUCGGUAGCUGGUCUGAGAGGAUGACCAGCCAGACUGGGACUGGGACACGGCCCAGACUCCUACGGGAGGCAGCAGUUAGGAAUUUUGGGCAAUGGCCGCAAGGCUGACCCAGCAACGCCGCGUGGGGGGACGAAGGCCUUCGGUU
rnacentral:rRNA from 1 species